AAGGCAUUCGACGGGGGUAGUAGGAGCUUAGGAAGCGAGUCGAGGACCUGUACCUCGUUAAAAACUGGGAACUUAAAUAUAAACGCAAAAAACGAAAAUUACGCAUUAGCUGCCUAGUUGCAGCUCAUCCUGCCUAGGCUUCCCACAGCUUAGGACCAGGGUGUCAAAUAAGUGGGGAAACGCGCCUGUCAAAGCUUUGAGAUAGGAACGGAAUUUAUGAAGCUACCGAAAUCUAUAGCCUGUUCUUGGGCGAUAGAUAGGGGGAAUCUCAAAACAAGAACUGCACUCGGAGAUGCUUAAGUUUUUAUGCUUUCGGACAGGGGUUCGAUUUG
rnacentral:tmRNA from 1 species